UCAGUUCUUUUUCUUCUUUCUGGUGUAAUUAAAGAAAUAAAUUCCACAGCAGCUCAGCUCCACAUAAAACAGAGCCCCCCAAAGAAAAGUGAUGAUCCUAGCUAUUUUAUAGUUAAAAGUACAGAAAAAACUUAUAGUUUAGCUGCACCAUCUGUCACAGAGAGAAGCAGAAUGACAAAGAGAGAAAGGGUCAGUAAAUUUUAAGCUGGUCCAGUUAGACUGUAGAAGAAAGGUCAUUGAACCCAGGGGAAAGCAAAUAAAUGUGGAAAUGUUACCCAGCCUGCCUUCACCUUCACACUGCACUGCCUCCGAUGCUGCUUGCCUUUGCAAUGCUCGUAAGAGACGUGGCAAUUUGCAGCCACGAGACUAUCAGCCUGGUCAAGGUCCCCCGGCAGCGAAGCCGCAGUGUGGGUGUCCUAUGCAGGGGCAUGGGGUGCUGGGGCCGAGUGUGGUGUGUAACACAUCUCUGCUGGCCUGGUUGCUUGGGGAGGCAGUUUUGCCCUGCAAAUGGUGGUUAGAGCCCAUCAGACUCACUUUCUUUUGUAACCUGAGCCAGGAUUUGAGCCGAGGCCUCCAAAGGUGAAAGGCUAAUAUGCUCGCCUCCCUCCCUGCCACUGAGCCCCCUUUGCUUCGUUAAGGUGAUGCACUAACUUUGGGAAAUCACUCCUGCAACCCAUAAAUGAUGAAUGAAAUGCGAAAGCCCUGCUUGGUGCGCAGGGGUAAUGUGCUGGCUGCUGGGCUGUUUGCUCUGUUAUAUUCAGCAAACAGGCUGCAAAGAAAGCUCAGCAAGAUCCUGGACAAAAGGAGAGGACAAUCAACUGAAAAACUCACUGGGUUCAAUUAUGGUCUGGAAUUUAAUCCCAGUAGGUUUGGUAGGGCUUCCCCCCCAGGCAAAAUCCAUCUUAAAAGUAGGUUUCUCUGAGGUCUCAGGACAGCAUGCAGAGGUAUUAGGCUCAUAAAGGGUUUCUUAUUCACAGAAAGCCCUGUAGAUACCACGGAAGCUUGUACAGAUUACUUCUGGGUGAGGCUAUAAUGCUGGAAGUGAAAGGGGCCGGGAUGUUCUUGCGGCUGGGAAAUCCAGGCUGCAAAGAAGAGAGGGGUGGUUAAAGCCCAUAAAUAGUUCUCGACUAAUGAAAUUACUGGGUGGGGAAAAGGGGAAAAUAGCUCCUUUUUAAAGCAGAUGAGGCAAACAUGCCUCCCAACAUAUUUUCUGCUCAUAAAACUCAGUCUGGGUUUCUAGGUAACUAGUGGAGAUACCCCAGGGAGAAUUUUCUAAGGGUUUCCCACAGUUGCUAGAUUUGAAUAACCAAAUGGAAGUGCUGGAUAUCAACCUUAUCUCACACAGAGUGUAGCUUACUCCAUCCCACCUCUCCUGAGGCUCACUUGUGUAUGAAGCAAACCUUCGCAUUGGGAGACCCACUGUUAGGAUCCAACAUUCACCAAGCACAAGACUAAGAGGGACCACUAUUAUAUGAUCCAGUCUGACCUCCUGGCUAGCUGUGCUUAAAUUCCAGUUUUGUUCUCUACAUCUGAGUGUUGUCCGGGGCUCCUGGGGCUGCCCAUCCUCUCGCAGAGCUAUGUCCCUUGGAUGGCUUGUUCACCUGCUGUAUGGGGAUUCAGGGUCUGAUGAGUAUUCAUAAGGUAGUGAUCCUGCUCUGGAUCUUACUGUUUCCUUAUUUUGUUUUAUUUCUAAACAUUUUUGUUUUAUUUCUAAGUGGCAGUUACUUUCUGGAGCUCAAAUUCUCUGCUGGUCUUGGGCUCCCUUUCAGUUCUACCUAUAGUCUUGCUGUGCUUUGUAAUAAGGUAGUGAGUCAAAUUAGUUGUCAAAGGCACAGAGAGGUUCAGAUGUUGGGAUGGAUUUUUUUUCCUUGCUGGCCAUGCUUUGCUUGCAGGACCAGAGUGUGUCUGCAAACAGUGGGGGGAAAAGGCCUCCUCCUUCCUUCCGUUGUGAGGGAUGGAGCUGGGAGUGACCAGCAGUCCUAUUAAAAUUAUUUUGAAUAUUUCUCCCUGACUCUUUAAGAUAGUUAGGUUUACCCUAAUUAGUAUUGCACUGUAAAUAAGCAUUUGGAUCCCAGCUAAGCCUUGAUGUGAGCAGAGGCUUUACAAUGAAAUCAAACUGCAUGAACAAUUGGUUUACAUGGGGCUUUCUCCAUACUGGUUCCCUGUCUUUACUUGGAUUCAGAGCAGUUAAUCCAGUGUGUGAAUGAUUAUUUGGUGUGCUGCAGUCCAAAAGAGUAUAGGGUUCUUGUCAGCUGUAAACUGAAUCUCAGUCCAGGGAAGCCUUGAAUGGCAAAGCGGGGAAUCCAGGUGUGUUAAAUGCACUACUGCUGUUUUGGGCACAAGGACAACUUAAAUCCAGGUAAUAAACUUUAUGUGUUGGUCACUGCCAUUAAAAAGCAGCUAUAGAGAAAGUAAACAGCCAGCUGAUCAUCCCUGCAAUAUAAGUGGGCCUCGGGACGGAGAAGAUGCAGAUACUUUUCCUGUUUGUAUCCAGGCAGGGAUGCUGAAGGGACAAACGGCACAGAGAUCAUUUACCAUUGUAAUUUAAUUUAAUAUUACUCAUAUGCCCAUGCAAACGGGUGGCUGCACACAUGAAGGUGCAGGGCAGUGCCUGUAUCCUUCCCCUCAUGCAGAGGAAGGCGAGCUGCUGAUGUGUGUGGAAAGGGUAAGUUCAGAGGAAGGAAACAACAUGUGCCUGCUGCCAGAGAGCCAAGCCUGCACAGGCAGGAUGGCUGAAUACAGCUGCAAUGAAAUCUGGUGAUAAGUGCAUUAAAAGAGGGGAGUCAUUCUGCAGAUGCAGAGGUCAGGUGUGACUGUCUACAAAGGCUGAGAAAACUUGCAACGUCUCAGGAUUAAUUAACACAGGUUGCUAAUCUCUGCAAACACAAGCUGCUCUUGUGUUUGCAGACUGGAAGGAGCUGUAAAUGAAACACAACAAACUGUGUGGCUGACAAGUGAAGAGAAGAGAUUGUCUUAUUAAUCAAGGUCUGGAAAGGAUCGUCCAGUGAACUAAUUUCAGACCAAUCUUGUGAGGCCUGGGACUAGCCAGUCCCUGUUGCUGGCAGAGAUGCUGGGCAAUCCCACAAGUUGCUCUUGCAUUUGCAAUGUGCUAUUUUCUGUAGCUGUUCUCCUGGGUCUUGCUCCCAGUCGCUUUGUUCUAAUGGCCAAUUUCUGCUUUCUGACAUGGCUGUCCUUGUCCCUGGUCCCAGCCAACCUGCCCUACCAUGCCAGGCUGGCCUUCUUUGUUCAGGGUCCCCUUUCAAAAAGCCAGGGAGUUUUCCAGGAUGGUCCUGUGUGACUGAGCCUUUCUCUGACCUCGCUCUUGCUUUGGUACACCUGCCUUGUCUCUAGUUUCUUGACUCUUGGCAUGCUUGAGUGUCACUUCAGCACAAGCUUGCAGUUUAGUACAAUCCCAGAUUUCUCUGUGUCCUGAUAUCUGCUCCAAAACCAGUUCUAGUUGGGUUCUAACCACUUAGGCUACCUGCAUAAUUUUCUGGCUUGAAUGGUAGUUUGAAGCCCACAGGAGCUGCUAAUGUCUGUUCAGGUAUUUAGCAGAAGCUGACUUGUGUUGCAAGGAGAGGACUGUAUGUUCUGUACAUCCCUCCCGCCCUGAAGCCAUUGUUCUAUCUUCAGAUCUAUCUUAUUCCCCCCACUAGGCACUCUUUGGGAGGACAGAUAUAAAUUAAAAGCAAAUUAUGCAACCUGAUACCAUCAGUCAACAGACACCUAUCUCUGCCCACAUACCCCCAGUAAAUGAAACCACCAUCAUAUCUGACUACAGACUAUGGAAAAGCUGAGGGCGAGGUUUGAAGGUCAAAGCACUCAGACACUGUAUCCAUCAUGCAUUUGGGCAGAUUUUGAAUAGUGCUGCAUCAAGCAACUGCCUUUCCCUUCACGGUCGUGCUUGGAAAUGCUGGCAGUUUCAGGUGACAGCUAUUGGAUCAAAAAGCAGAAGUGGUGGCACAAAAUUCCCUUUGGAGGAAAGAUGGAUGAUGCGUGUUUCUGUUCACUGUACUGAGUACCUGAUGCAGUCUGGGAUUUGUUUCCUGUUACAGGGAAUAUUCUCUCCUGUAGCCGCUGCUGCAGGUGCACAGACCUUUGGAGAGUGCUGACAGCCAGGUGAGGAGGUCUGGAUGAUGGGGUGCAGGACAUCCAUUCCUCCCUUAUCGUGGGAAGGGGGUGCACGAUGCCACUUUUCUUUUGCAUUGACACCAGGUAUGUAACCCUCCUGCUCCCCAGGAGCUCAACUCCACCCAUGCUGGAAGUCAGAAUUGGCUGCAUAUCGUCUCCAACCACCUUUUGACCAGUGAGAGAUCUGGUGUCCCUGGGUCCAUCCAACACUGUGUGCUCCAGCCAGCCAGCCACCCCCUCCUCCCAGCUGCAGUUCACCAUCACCUGUGUAAAUGCAGCUCCCUGUUAAGUCCGUGCUUGCAAAGCUUUAAAAGCCUCCAGACACUGAAACCUGGCUGGUCGGGGCUGUGCUGCAACCAGCUGGGUGCUGUUUAUUGCCCCAGAAGCUCUCUCUAAUUGCAGGAGGUAGCGAAGCAGCACUGACUGAAGGGCUCGGCUGCAGGGUCCUGUUUCAUCGGAGGCAGCUCAGUGCAGUAGUAAUGCUCUCCCACUUUCUUCCACAGGAGGAUUUUGUGUCUCGGGAUGAGAUAGAGGUCUGGCUGCUCAGUGUGAGCUCUCAAAGCUUGCACGAGAGCCCACGUCCCCCCUUCCUCUCUGUCCGCCUUUUCCUUGCGGGCUGUGUGGGACUAACCCCAUGCUGACAUGAGGGAUGCUCCAGCUGGUGUCCAUAAAAGAGAUCCCCCAUCUUGUGCUUCUGUCCUGUUCUCUACAGAGCUGAGGAGUUACAUUCUCCUCUGAAAACACACUGUUCCUCUGGAGAAGGUUGGUGCCGGGCGUGUCUUCAACCUGAAUGCUCUCCUACGGUGGAAGGUUGCCUGGAUAACUUCUCCAGUGACAAGCUCAGCCCGCAAAUAAGGCUUGAAGGAUAUUACUGCAUUUCCCAAGAGUGCCCAGCUUUUGAAAUGCCAUUUCCCCUGGUAUUAGGAGUUCUGGAAGCUGAAGCCAGGCAGAAGAUCAGUAUCUUUAACCACAUCAUGAGGACUUCUUUUGGGAAAAGGCAUCUGUAUAAUGAACUGUCAUGGGUGCAUGAAUGAAGUAUUGAAAAGCAGCUGAGGGGCAGAGUGUAUGGGGGAGGGUGUGUCUCUGGGUGUGCUGAAACUAAAUGUUAUCUCCAAAUUGCUCAUUAAAACCUUCAUUUUAA